GGCCGACUAGCUCAGUUGGUUAGAGCGUCGUGCUAAUACCAUGGUUGUGGUGUACGCGAAGGUCUUGGGUUCGAUCCCCACGUUGGCCA